GACGAACGCUGGCGGCGCGCUUAACACAUGCAAGUCGAACGGAAAGGCCUCUUUCGGGGGGUACUCGAGUGGCGAACGGGUGAGUAACACGUGAGUAACCUGCCCUUGACUUUGGGAUAACUUCAGGAAACUGGGGCUAAUACCGGAUAGGAGCUCCUGCUGCAUGGUGGGGGUUGGAAAGUUUCGGCGGUUGGGGAUGGACUCGCGGCUUAUCAGCUUGUUGGUGGGGUAGUGGCUUACCAAGGCUUUGACGGGUAGCCGGCCUGAGAGGGUGACCGGCCACAUUGGGACUGAGAUACGGCCCAGACUCCUACGGGAGGCAGCAGUGGGGAAUAUUGCACAAUGGGUGGAAGCCCGAUGCAGCAACGCCGUGUGCGGGAUGACGGCCUUCGGGUUGUAAACCGCUUUCGCUCAUGACGAAGCUUUGUGUGACGGUAGUGGGUAAAGAAGCACCGGCUAACUACGUG
rnacentral:rRNA from 1 species